rnacentral:rRNA from 1 species
CAGGUAGUUGGUGAGGUAAAGGCUCACCAAGCCUACGACGGGUAGCCGGCCUGAGAGGGUGACCGGCCACACUGGGACUGAGACACGGCCCAGACUCCUACGGGAGGCAGCAGUGGGGAAUAUUGCACAAUGGGCGAAAGCCUGAUGCAGCAACGCCGCGUGAGGGAUGACGGCCUUCGGGUUGUAAACCUCUUUUAGUAGGGAAGAAGCGAAAGUGACGGUACCUGCAGAAAAAGCACCGGCUAACUACGUGCCAGCAGCCGCGGUAAUACGUAGGGUGCGAGCGUUGUCCGGAAUUAUUGGGCGUAAAGAGCUCGUAGGCGGUCUGUCGCGUCUGCUGUGAAAACCCGAGGCUCAACCUCGGGCCUGCAGUGGGUACGGGCAGACUAGAGUGCGGUAGGGGAGAAUGGAAUUCCUGGUGUAGCGGUGGAAUGCGCAGAUAUCAGGAGGAACACCGAUGGCGAAGGCAGUUCUCUGGGCCGUAACUGACGCUGAGGAGCGAAAGCGUGGGGAGCGAACAGGAUUAGAUACCCUGGUAGUCCACGCCGU